CACACCUUUUAAACUUUUUAAUUUUUACAUAGCUCUACAUUUUUUAAAAUAGAAAUUGAUAUCUUAUGAAGACAAGUGCCUGUGACCACAAUGCUUGCUCUGUGAAUAAAAAGUAUCAUUCAUUCGUUAAGUCCGCGGAUUAUAUGAGGAUUAAACCUGAGUUGAUUUUCCUUACCCAUUUCCACAUACCGAUUUGUAUGAAGGUGAAAGGCGAUCACGUGUUUUGCACGUGCUCAAUGUGUCUCGGCCUUUGUAUGCUUUGUAGCGCUAUGCAAAAUUAUUUUGCUUGUUGAUCAAGAAGUGAGUUCUUGCGCCAUAUUUUGCAGAGGGUUGUUUCCAUUAAAGCUGUGAUUUAUCUUCAAUAGAAUUGCUUGUUCAUCAAAAUAGCUGUGAUUUUUCUUAGAUAAUUAUGUUGUGAUAUUUGCUUUCUUCCUUGCUUACCAGUUAUAUUGGACUGGAUAAAAGCUUGCAGUAUUAUGAGUAAUGGCCAAUCAAUCUUAAAGAUUUGUAUUUCGUUAAUAACUUAUCUUACGACUUAAAAAUAUAAUAAUUACUGAUAUUUGUUAUUAAAAGUGUCAUAUUCAUCGUAUUUUGUUAUCGUGACGUCACAAGAUGAAACAUUCCAUGUUGAUUUUUUUUAAAUGCAUUUACCAGUUGUAAAAUGUAUGUGUUCUUGUUUUCAUAUUUUAACAAAUGACUGUUAAUGAAUGUUACAAUGUUACUUUUGACUGUAUAUCAUAACCCUUCGAGUAUUUGUUCACUUUUUUUAGCACUGCUAUCCUCAUUUUGGUAGUAGUUGUUGAAUGUUGUGAUGUGCUAGAGAUUUCAGAACUUGUGGUUCUAGAUUUUUACGCCUAUUUUUGUACACGUAUUCCUGGAAGAAUGUCUACAGUUAUAGAGGUUUGUUAUCUAUGUGUAGUUAAACCGAUCUGUGGUUGGGUUAUUUUUAAAAUUUAAGAAUUGGUGGAUUGGAAAUGCUGCCUAUGCAAUAGAGUUUGUUGGAAAUAAUUAAAGAAUGAUGAAGAG
rnacentral:misc_RNA from 1 species